CCUGGAAUCGGUUCAUCCGGAGAUAGGGACGUUGUUUCCGUAAAGCACCGCGGUUUCUGUGGUGUCUCGUGCUCUCUGAACGGCCCUUGAAAAACCGAGGGAGGCUAUUAAUCUAUGCUGCAUCGUACCGAUAUCCGCAUCAGGUCCUCAAGGUGAACAGCCUCUAGUCGAUAGAAUAAUGUAGGUAAGGGAAGUCGGCAAAUUAGAUCCGUAACUUCGGGAAAAGGAUUGGCUCCAGUGAUCGGGUCGGUUGGCCUGUUCACUGAUACUUGUAUGGUUUCGUUCGUGGCUGGCUGAUGCUAACGCUGAUGUCGGACUAGUGAUGAGACAGUCUUGUGGACGUUUAUAGGUGUGUGCUUUGCUUUCGAGCUUAGUAUCCUGACCGGCCAUUAAAACGGUCGAACUGGAACUGGUACGGACUCGGGGAAUCCGACUGUCUAAUUAAAACAGAGGAGACAGAUGGUCCUUGCGGACGUUUACUGUCUCUGAUUUCUGCCCAGUGCUCUGAAUGUUAAAUCGUAGUAAUUCGAGUAAGCGCGGGUAAACGGCGGGAGUAACUAUGACUCUCUUAAGGUAGCCAAAUGCCUCGUCAUCUAAUUAGUGACGCGCAUGAAUGGAUUAACGAGAUUCCCACUGUCCCUAACUACUAUCUAGCGAAACCACAGCCAAGGGAACGGGCUUGGUAAAAAUAGCGGGGAAAGAAGACCCUGUUGAGCUUGACUCUAGUUUGACAUUGUGAAGAGUCAUGAGAGGUGUAGCAUAGGUGGGAGACUUAUGUCGCCAAUGAAAUACCACCACUUUCAUCGAUUCUUUACUUAUUCGGUAAUGUGAGGAUUGGGCCAUCGGCUCUUUCUUCUUUGUGUUAAGUGAAGUCACCUGGUGACAUUACGACUCCCGUCGAAGACAAUGUCAGGCGGGGAGUUUGACUGGGGCGGUACAUCUGUCAAAUCGUAACGCAGGUGUCCUAAGGCUAGCUCAGAGAGGACGGAAACCUCUCGUAGAGCAAAAGGGCAAAAGCUCGCUUGAUCUUGACUUUCAGUACGAGUACAGACCGCGAAAGCGUGGCCUAUCGAUCCUUUUAAUCCAGAUAGUUUCUGGUAAGAGGUGUCAGAAAAGUUACCACAGGGAUAACUGGCUUGUGGCAGCCAAGCGUCCAUAGCGACG
rnacentral:rRNA from 1 species